ACUCAAAUGAAUUGACGGGGGCCCGCACAAGCGGCGGAGCGUGUUGUUUAAUUCGUCGCAACGCGAAAAACCUUACCAGGGCUUGACAUGCACCUGCAGGCGCCGGGAAACCGGUGCGGCCUUCGAGGGUGGUGCACAGGUGCUGCAUGGCUGUCGUCAGCUCGUGUCGUGAGAUGUUGGGUUAAGUCCCGCAACGAGCGCAACCCUUAUGGUCAGUUGUGAUUUUCUGGCCAGACUGCCGGGGGCAAACCGGAGGAAGGUGGGGAUGAUGUCAAGUCAGCAUGGCCCUUACGCCCUGGGCGACAAACACGCUACAAUGGCGCGGACAGAGGGUAGCCAACCCGCGAGGGGGAGCGAAUCCCAGAAACCGCGUCUCAGUUCGGAUCGCGGGCUGCAACUCGCCCGCGUGAAGCUGGAGUCGCUAGUAACCGCAGAUCAGCAAUGCUGCGGUGAAUAUGUUCCCGGGCCUUGCACACACCGCCCGU
rnacentral:rRNA from 1 species